AUACGUAGGGUGCAAGCGUUAAUCGGAAUUACUGGGCGUAAAGCGUGCGCAGGCGGUUUUGUAAGACAGUGGUGAAAUCCCCGGGCUCAACCUGGGAACUGCCAUUGUGACUGCAAGGCUGGAGUGCGGCAGAGGGGGAUGGAAUUCCGCGUGUAGAAGUGAAAUGCGUAGAUAUGCGGAGGAACACCGAUGGCGAAGGCAAUCCCCUGGGCCUGCACUGACGCUCAGGCACGAAAGCGUGGGGAGCAAACAGGAUUAGAUACCCUGGUAGUCCACGCCCUAAACGAUGUCAACUGGUUGUUGGGGAUUUAUUUUCUCAGUAACGAAGCUAACGCGUGAAGUUGACCGCCUGGGGAGUACGGCCGCAAGGUUAAAACUCAAAGGAAUUGACGGGG
rnacentral:rRNA from 1 species